GACGAACGCUGGCGGCGUGCUUAACACAUGCAAGUCGAACGAUGAUGCCCAGCUUGCUGGGUGGAUUAGUGGCGAACGGGUGAGUAACACGUGAGUAACCUGCCCCUGACUCUGGGAUAAGCGUUGGAGACGACGUCUAAUACUGGAUAUGACUGCCGGACGCCUGGUCUGGUGGUGGAAAGAUUUUUUGGUUGGGGAUGGACUUGCGGCCUAUCAGCUUGUUGGUGAGGUAAUGGCUCACCAAGGCGACGACGGGUAGCCGGCCUGAGAGGGUGACCGGCCACACUGGGACUGAGACACGGCCCAGACUCCUACGGGAGGCAGCAGUGGGGAAUAUUGCACAAUGGGCGAAAGCCUGAUGCAGCAACGCCGCGUGAGGGAUGACGGCCUUCGGGUUGUAAACCUCUUUUAGUAGGGAAGAAGCGAAAGUGACGGUACCUGCAGAAAAAGCACCGGCUAACUACGUGCCAGCCGCCGCGGUAA
rnacentral:rRNA from 1 species